rnacentral:rRNA from 1 species
AGCUCCAAUAGCGUAUAUUAAAGUUGUUGCGGUUAAAACGCUCGUAGUUGGAUCUGCGGCCUCGAAGAACGGUCCCCCGAAAGGGUGGUCACUGUCUCUUCUAGCCUAAAUUCGAGUUGUCUUUAGGUGCUCUUUAUUGAGUGCUUAGAGCGACUAGAACGUUUACUUUGAAAAAAUUAGAGUGCUUAAAGCAGGCGAAAUAGUCUGUAUAAGGUGCAUGGAAUAAUGGAAUAGGAUCUCGGUUCUAUUUUGUUGGUUUUCGGAGCCCGAGAUAAUGAUUAAGAGGAACAGACGGGGGCAUUCGUAUUUCGGCGCUAGAGGUGAAAUUCUUGGACCGCCGAAAGACGAACGACUGCGAAAGCAUUUGCCAAGAAUGUUUUCA